ensembl:lncRNA
UUUAUAUAUUUUUAUGUUUACUUUUUGUUCACUUCUGUAGUGUUUUUGUUAGAUCUCAUACUUGUUGUAAUUUAAAUAUGUCCUUAUAUGUCAGCAGGAGAGGUUUCAGUCAAGAUUGGUCACACUACGGGAACAUCAUAACAAUUGCUCCAAGCGCUUUAAUAGAGCAGAAGUUGAAAAAACCAACAGAACAAAAAAGACUGCCAUACUUGAGGAUUGCGUUGUUCAUCAAUCCCUUCAAAAAGAAAAUGGGAGGACUCUGAGGUAAAAGCAGUUGAAAAACAUAUGAUGAAGUUCAUAAAGACCUGCAGAGUUCCUGGUAAGCAAGACUGUGAGAGAUGCAUUAAAGCAGAGUCAGAAGCCUUAAAGGAACGAACAUGGACUGGUGUGAAAAAUUAUGUGCGGAACAGGAUCACAACUUGAGGUGGAUUUUAGAGGCUACAUUGCCUUUUACUGUAAAGUGAAGAACAUGGUGAGGAAAAUGUUAAAAGCAUCAAUGCCAUUUACACCAUAUCAAACUUUAAUAACUUCUGUAAGGCCCUGUUAUACCCCGUUUUAACACUUUCCACAUCAUGCUCAUCAUUUUAAAGAAAUUAGAUAAAAGUUUAAGUAGAAAGAUGUAUAAAGAGGGAGAAUUUGUUUGAGGACAGAAGGAAACACAAUGUUAACGAAGUAAACUAGACAGGAGAAGAGAGCGGAGUAAACGUAAUAUUGAAGUGAUGGAUUAUGAUAAAAGGACGAAGAGUCUAGAAAAAGACACUGCACUGACAAACUUUUCAUUGUUUUUAUUGUUCAAUUCAUUUUAGCAUGUUGCCUUCGCUAUUUCAGAUGUGCACUUUCACAAUGUGUGAAUAUUGUUUAUUUGAAAGUGAAAGU